rnacentral:rRNA from 1 species
GAUCAUGGCUCAGGAUGAACGCUGGCGGCGUGCUUAACACAUGCAAGUCGAACGGGAAACCUUUUAUUGAAGCUUCGGCAGAUUUAGCUGGUUUCUAGUGGCGGACGGGUGAGUAACGCGUGGGUAACCUGCCUUAUACGAGGGGGAUAACAACCAGAAAUGGUUGCUAAUACCGCAUAAGCGCACAGGACCGCAUGGUCCAGUGUGAAAAACUCCGGUGGUAUAAGAUGGACCCGCGUUGGAUUAGCUUAGG